GCUACCAUGACUUUGAUCCCCGUCUUCAUCUGGACACUGAUCCUCUGGACUCAAGAAUGCAGAGGUCAAGCAACAGUAACUCAGACUCCUGCAGUGAAAUCUGUUCUUCCAGGAGAAACAGUCACCAUCAACUGUCAGUCCAGUCAGGCAGUUUACAAGGAUUCAAAUGGUGUCUGGUUGAACUGGUAUCAGCAGAAACCUGGAGAAGCUCCUAAACUCCUCAUUAAAUAUGUAAAUCAGCUACAGUCGGGUUUUCCAGCUCGUUUCAGUGGCAGUGGAUCUGGAUCUGAUUUCACUCUGACCAUCAGUGGAGUCCAGACUGAAGAUGCAGGAGAUUAUUACUGUCAGAGUCACCACAGCAUCUCAGGCUACUGGUUCACACAGUGA